ACCAUCGCCAGUGGCAAACAUCAGUCACCAGCUGUGCCCUCUCCAGUUUGGUGUUCACAUGGCCUUUGUCAGCAGGGUGAUGGUAUUUACCGUGACUCACAAGCACGCUCUGAAGACCGUAAUUCGGCUUCUUGGCUGUCUUGAAGGUUUUGGUGUUGGUACAGCCUCUUCGCUUGCUCAGAUGGCUUAAAAGGUCCUGCCCUUACCACAGUGUGAUGUUGGCAAGGAAAGCUGGCUGUUCUCGUGUGAUUGCCAAGCUGUCUGCUUUACAUUGUUUUCUUCAGUGUCUUGCCCUCUCUUACAGUUCUGUGCAAGUUGCUGUCAACAUUUGCUUUGGAUGUUUCCUAAAAAUCCAGCACACCAUGACUCUUCCAGUUCAGACUGAAUACAAGUGAAUUUGGAAGAAAGGAACCUUACGAUUGCCACUGACUCUGAGAAAGAGAAGCCUUCAGGCUGAGGGAGCUGCUGAUCAGUAAGACAGGACAUCAGAACAUCAACAACAUGACUGGCAAGUGUGGGAAGAAGAAGGGAUAAGUAACAUUUUUGAUCCCAACUAAAACACGAUUGGCAUUUUAGAAAUAUGAAAUCCUGAUGACCAGACUCAUAUCAAUCCUAAUGCUGCUGACAGUUUUGUGGAAGAGAUCUUCAGGGAGGACAUGGAAAACAAAGCUCUGACUGGAAAUGAUGAUUCAUCUUCAUGAAGCAAAUCUAACAAUGAAACAGUGCAAUUAAAGCAGUCCAGAGCACUUGGUUAGCAAUGAACCAGGACACUGAAACCACCUCCCAGAGCGAUGCCGCAGGUCACACGUGCUUGUGUUAUGACUGUAAUUUAUCAAUCUGGGUCUGUUGAAGCAGAAAGCACUUGCUCUCUCCUGAGUGCUACAGGUAUGUCUCAGACAGCAAAAUGGUUUCAGAAAAACUUUAAUGAAAAAUGUCAGUUUUUUGGAUAAUGGGUGGUGAGAAAGGAAAAGGUCUGCAAAAUUUAUCCACAUGAAUCUGCUUUUUACUAGAGCUGACAAGAAUAAUUUUAUUCAUUGCUAAUUCUAGAAGUAGGUAGUUGUACUAGAGUCAGCAGAACGCUUGCCAAGUUUCCUUCGGAUAUGCCCUCAUUUCAGUAGUGAAUGAGGUGAUCUUUUAAUGAAAAACAGAACAUAAGUAAACAAAUAAUACCGAUUAUUUUUUUUCUCCUUCCAACAAGACAGAGUCGUUAUCAUUUGAGAUUGUGAAGUACAUAUUCACCAUUGGAGUCCUGCUGUGUUAGCGAUAAGGGAGCUGACAAGGCAUUAGCACAGAGACACUGCCCUCUAUUGCAAACUGCUCUGCUGCUGCUCCUGCUCGUGCAUUGAUGAGCCCAAUGCUAAUCAUCAGGUUUAAAACUGCAUAUAGUUGGGGCAUUUUAGUUCAGUAAUUUUCUGUCAGUCUGUAACACCAAGGCUGUGCCAAAUGCCCUAAGGUCCUAAUAACCCAAGCAUUUUACAGACAGUACAUGAAGUCUGGUAGACAUUGGUGUGCUGCUUGCUGCACUGCCCUUACCUGCACCUCAGCUGGAUUUUGAUUUGAUUUGAUUUGAUGUGGGUUUGUAACCCGAAAGGCUCAGAACAGUGUAAGUCAAAAGCGAAGGGGAGGAGUCAGGGCAGCACAGCUGUCUCUGAGAAAGCGGCUCAGUGCACAGCCCUGCUCAGGUGCCACUGCUGCCCUCCCCAGCGGCCACAGGGAGCAGGCAGGAAUAGCUGACAGGGGAGGCUCUCACACCAAAGCAAAGCAGGGCCCUGGCACAGAGAAGCCACUUCUUCCUACAUCACUCUCAGAUGGAAGGGGAGGGCCUGUGCUCAGGCAGGCUCCUGCUCAGCAGGGAGGACGCAAAGGGAGGCUACAGCAGCCACUCAUACUCAGUCUCAGAUGGUUUUUCCACUCCAUUGAUGCUGUCCAAUGUGUUCCUCAGAUUAAAGCACUUCUCAUUAAUAAAAUGGGCCUGAGUUUUGUCAGAAAGAUCCUGCUCUUGGUCAUCUGUGCAUCUCUUUAGAUGCUGAGAAGGGGAAAGAUUUACCUUAAUCUAAACCACAUUUAAUUCUGUUGUGCUAAAUAAUGAAUUGUUUUCAUUAGCUUCCUAUAAUGCUUUGUGUUAGAGUUUGCUGGCAUUUCCAGUGGUUCAAGAAUGCUCAGUGCUGGAAUUUUGGAUAGUGGGAGCUUUAUCAUCCAUCUCCACUGGCCUGUGUGAGUUCACUGAAGAAUAGUAUUUAACACUAUUAAUGUUGUCUAUUUCAUGCCACUAUUAUAAUGUCACUAUUUCAUGCUUGUCAUUUUAAUGACAGACAACCAUAAGGGUGAAAAACACUCGGUAGUUGUGUGGCAUGAGGGAAAGCCUCAAUGCAAAAAAGAGAUGAUAUGGGGGAACCUUCAUGCCAGCACUGCUCUAAGUGAGAAAGAAAAGAGCAGACAAGAGUUUGGUUUCUCAUCUCUUCUGUUUUGGGGGAUAGAUUCACUUAGCAUAAUUCAAAUUAUACAUAUCUGCAAAAUAUGUUUAAGCAUUUCUGGUCACCUUGAUCACACUGAGGGAAAUACCUUGCUCCAUCUCUGCUUUCUUACUCUCAAGGAAUUUUUGGUGUAACUUCAUCUCCUUUGGCUCUUCCAAAAGCAGGGAAGACCUGGCAGGCCUUGGGCUAGAAUCAGAGUAAUAAGGAUAAAGAAAGACAAAGCCUUGCUUUCCAAAGCAUCAGGAAGACAGCAGACUUCUUGACAUUUUUGGUAAAUAUUGCCAUAUGGACUUGUCAAUUGUUAUUACUAUCAGUCUGACUAACAUGGAGAUAUAACUGGAUCAAAGGUGACCAGAAAUGCCACCCUAAAACCCUCUGAAGCCUGUUGUUCACCCAGAGAGCCCUGCAUGAGGAGCCCUCCCUGG